rnacentral:tRNA from 1 species
AUGCUUGGUCGGUCGGCUUCGACGGCCGCAUCACCAUCGGCGUCUGGGUCGGCCGCCCGGAUGGCGCGCCAGUGCCGGGGCUGGUUGGGCGCAC